ACGCUGGCGGCACGCCUAACACAUGCAAGUCGAACGAAGUAGUAAUACUUAGUGGCAGACGGGUGAGUAACAUGUAGGUAUCUGCCCUUUGGCCUGGAAUAACACGAGGAAACUUGUGCUAAUACCGGAUAAGUCUUUACGGAGAAAGCUUUAUGCACCAUUGGAUGAGCCUGCACUUGAUUAGUUUGUUGGUGGGGUAAUGGCCUACCAAGACUGUGAUCAAUAGCUGAUUUGAGAGGAUGAUCAGCCACAUUGGGACUGAGACACGGCCCAAACUCCUACGGGAGGCAGCAGUGGGGAAUCUUGCACAAUGGAGGAAACUCUGAUGCAGCGAUGCCGCGUGAGUGAAGAAGGCCUUUGGGUUGUAAAGCUCUUUCGUCGGGGAAGAAAAUGACUGUACCCGAAUAAGAAGGUCCGGCUAACUUCGUGCCAGCAGCCGCGGUAAUACGAAGGGACCUAGCGUAGUUCGGAAUUACUGGGCUUAAAGAGUUCGUAGGUGGUUGAAAAAGUUGGUGGUGAAAUCCCAGAGCUUAACUCUGGAACUGCCAUCAAAACUUUUCAGCUAGAGUAUGAUAGAGGAAAGCAGAAUUUCUAGUGUAGAGGUGAAAUUCGUAGAUAUUAGAAAGAAUACCAAUUGCGAAGGCAGCUUUCUGGAUCAUUACUGACACUGAGGAACGAAAGCAUGGGUAGCGAAGAGGAUUAGAUACCCUCGUAGUCCAUGCCGUAAACGAUGUGUGUUAGACGUUGGAAAUUUAUUUUCAGUGUCGCAGGGAAACCGAUAAACACACCGCCUGGGGAGUACGACCGCAAGGUUAAAACUCAAAUGAAUUGACGGGGACCCGCACAAGUAGUGGAGCAUGUGGUUUAAUUCGAAGAUACGCGCAGAACCUUACCAACACUUGACAUGUUCGUCGCGACUCUAAGAGAUUAGAGUUUUCGGUUCGGCCGGACGAAACACAGGUGCUGCAUGGCUGUCGUCAGCUCGUGUCGUGAGAUGUUGGGUUAAGUCCCGCAACGAGCGCAACCCUCACUUUUAGUUGCCAUCAUUAAGUUGGGCACUCUAAAAGAACUGCCAGUGAUAAGCUGGAGGAAGGUGGGGAUGACGUCAAGUCCUCAUGGCCCUUACGUGUUGGGCUACACACGUGCUACAAUGGCAUCUACAACAGGAAGCAAAACGGCAACGUUAAGCAAAUCCCGAAAAGAUGCCUCAGUUCGGAUUGCACUCUGCAACUCGAGUGCAUGAAGCUGGAAUUACUAGUAAUCGUGGAUCAGCGUGCCACGGUGAAUGCGUUCCCGGGUCUUGUACACACCGCC
rnacentral:rRNA from 1 species